UACGUAGGGGGCAAGCGUUGUCCGGAAUCAUUGGGCGUAAAGAGCUCGUAGGCGGCUUGUCGCGUCGAUUGUGAAAGCCCGGGGCUUAACUCCGGGUCUGCAGUCGAUACGGGCAGGCUAGAGUUCGGUAGGGGAGACUGGAAUUCCUGGUGUAGCGGUGAAAUGCGCAGAUAUCAGGAGGAACACCGGUGGCGAAGGCGGGUCUCUGGGCCGAUACUGACGCUGAGGAGCGAAAGCGUGGGGAGCGAACAGG
rnacentral:rRNA from 1 species